rnacentral:rRNA from 1 species
CAGCAGCCGCGGUAAUACAGAGGGUGCGAGCGUUAAUCGGAUUUACUGGGCGUAAAGCGUGCGUAGGCGGCUUUUUAAGUCGGAUGUGAAAUCCCUGAGCUUAACUUAGGAAUUGCAUUCGAUACUGGGAAGCUAGAGUAUGGGAGAGGAUGGUAGAAUUCCAGGUGUAGCGGUGAAAUGCGUAGAGAUCUGGAGGAAUACCGAUGGCGAAGGCAGCCAUCUGGCCUAACACUGACGCUGAGGUACGAAAGCAUGGGGAGCAAACAGGAUUAGAUACCCGAGUAGUCCCUGUCUCUUAUAC